UGGAGUGGGCGCAUGAUCGCUCCGGCUUAGGCCGGAGAGGAAAGUCCGGACUCUACAGGGCAGGGUGGUUCGUAACGCGAACCUCGGGUGACCGUGGGAAAGUGCCACAGAAAAUAGACCGCCUGUUAUGCAGGUAAGGGUGAAAAGGCGAGGUAAGAGCUCACCGCCUUCAUGGUGACAUGAAGGGCAUGGUAAACCCCACCCAGAGCAAGACCAAAUAGAGAGAUGUUUGAGGGCUGCCCGCCCGAAAUCUCCGGGUAGGUUGCAAGAGGUGUUGGGCAACCAACAUCCCAGUGAAAUGAUCAUGGCCCCGCAAGGGGUACAGAAUCCGGCUUAUAACCCACUCCAAUUU
rnacentral:RNase_P_RNA from 1 species